GUAGAUGGAAACUCUCAGUCUGACAUCUUACUUUUGUUUUAGCAUUUUGGAUCUGAAACAGUUUUUAGCUUCUCAGCUGAUCCUUCAACCGUUCUCAUCUUCACUCUGGUAGAUUUCACCUCAGAGAGGAGCAACAGAACCAGAACCAGCACAGGACCAGAACCAAACAGAACCAGAACCAAAACAAACACAGAACCAAACAGAACCAGCACAGAACUUAGCAUAGCGAUAGCUGAACUGUUAGCAUCAGUUCCAGCUGCUCAAAACGAUGCACUGCAAAAACUCUAAAUCAGACCAAGUAUUUUAGUUUAGUUUCUGGUGUAAAUAUCUUAUUAAACUUGAAAUCAGACAAAACCAAUUUAAAUGCAACGUUUCAGCAGGAUGUCAGUCAAUAAUGAAUCUUGAUGUAAAUAUUAGCUCCCACAUUGUAAGUGAAAUAAUCUGCCAAUGGAAUUAGUAUUUAUUUAACAAUAUUAAGGAAUUAUUGAUAAGUGUAUUUGCACUAGAAAUCAGAUGAAAAUACUUGGUAAUAUUUUUUGUUUGUUUGUUUGUUUGUUUGUUUUGCUGUUGAUCCGUCUCCAGCAGCUCCAGGGGAGAACUGGACCGGUGAUGUGAUGCUAACAGUUCAGUUUUUACAGUGUGUCGGUGUCGGAACGUUCUUCCUCCAGCGGAUGAAUUUGAACGCGACGGGAUUGUGGGAAACCCAACAUGUCUGACAUGUUUUAUUGUGUUCGGUGGUUUAUGAAGUCAUAAAGUGUUUAAAUGUCGGCGGUCUGCCAGGAAGUGACCGGCGCGUCCGUCACAGGUGACCUUUAAACCCGGAGCGGCUCGUCUUCGUCUCCCUCGCGCCUCGUUAGCGGCGCUCCGGAUGGGCGGCCAUUAAGGAGUCCGAGGCCAGAGAUGGAGCAGCGGGAAGGCAAUAACCGGCCUUGUUAGGAGAAUUUUAUUACCGGGCUCAGAGAGCAGCAGCAGCCGGUUUCCCACCAGGAAGAGUUUCUGCAGUAAUGGAGCUGCAAUAACCUUUGCUUUUUUAAUUCCUCUCAUGUUUAAUGGAACCAGUUAAAAAGACGGUCAGGGACGUCGGAGUGGAUUUUUUCCUGCAGCCUUAAUCUUCCUGGUGUUUCCUGUGGACCUCGACCCAAACAUGAAUCAUCCUCCUGCUGCUUUGUGUGAAGCGAUACAGCAGCAGAUUGAGCUAUUUGUUAUCACAGCAGCUCGUCCAACGCCGGCCGGCCGCAAGCGAUGAAUUCCUCUCCCAUCGCCCUGGGAUUGGAUUUUUCUCUCCUUCCUGCGUUUUCUGAUGGAUUCAGAAUAAAUUUCUUGUUCACAGUCAUGGAGGUCAGAGAGGUGAGGAGGAGGAGGCAGAUCUCUGCAGAGGUGAAGCCAUGAGAGGAACGUCCCGGCUCAGCAGGGAGCAGAAACAUCUGAGGAUAAUGUCAGGAAUAUUUCUGUCCGAUUUAAAAUUCAACAUGAUGAUUAAAUGGAUGAUAAAUUGAAGCUUUAAACGCCUGAAACGAACAGCUGCAUUCGAACCGGACCAAGCGGCUGGAUUUGGACUAAAACCGUCCAGAUCUACGGAAGCCCUGAAAGGCCAAGGGGAAAGAUAAGGAGAGAAAAUGUCAGAAAAGUUCAUUAGAGGCGGAUCUGGACGGAGCGGUGACUCUGACAGACACGGAGGCUGAGCAUUUGUCAUCCAUCUCACACGGCCUGUCUUCACCUCAUGAGGCCCGUCAGCUUCAUUACUCCUCUCUGUCUGCGCUCAUCGUCUCGUCGCCUGCAGCCUGCCGGCAACGCCGUGUCACAGGGAGCUGGAAAGGUCAGCGGCAGGAAAAACCGACACACACAAACACUCAGCAGACAGACGUCCUGCAGGGAACUCCCACCAGGAACCGCUCAGCCCCUCCCACAGCCGCAGGCCGCGCCGCCGCAGGUCAAUGGGGCUGACCCAGCACGGAGCCGGGAGCGGUUCUGGUUCUGUAUCCAGAUCCGGGUCAGAGAGGCGGGUCGAUCCCAGCACAGAAGUAAUGUGAGGCCGCCGUCCGUCACAGAUCUAAUGAAAUGUCUGCAGAGCUUCAGCUGAUUUUAAUAAUCAGCUGCUGCCAUAAACUUUAUUAAACAUCAUAAAAUCAGAGCCGGAAAAACAGGUUUUCUAUCUGCUGCUGCACAAGUUGGAUUUUAUUAGAAAUCAGUUUUUUUUAUCUCCUCUGAACAUUUCUAUGAAUAUUAAUGAUCCUCAGGAUUCUACACAACUGGAUUAAUUACAACACAAUAAUUCAGAGUCUGAAUUAAAUGAUUCCGCUUCUGUUAAAACUUCUGUCAGCCAAGUGGUCACGUGACUCCCCCAGCCAAUCAGAGACCUGCUAACAGCUGCGCGCCCACAGCAUAGAUGCGUUUUAAAUAGAUGUUGGAUUAGUUUGAAGUAAAGCUACACAGUGAAAACCAGCAGCAACAUUUUGGUUUAUUCAGCCAUUCAGAGAGGAAAAAAACCUAUAAAAUCAGAUUUUCACCAUGUUAUUGAUGCUUGAUAAAUGUCACAGUCCCAAACUAAAUAUUUAAUUCAAAACUUAAAUCUUUAUUAUACAAACUGCGUGCAGGAGUUCAGGGUCCAGAUGUACAGGUCCAACGGCUGAAGGUUUUAUUCGGAUCUCUGCAGAAGGAACGGAGAGCAAACAGACGGACAGCUGAGCUUGUGUCUUUUUUACAAAUUUAUUUAUUUUUAUGCCACACUCAUAAACAAUAAUUAUUUAUGGUUUUUGGACUCACAAAUGUCACUUAAGAGUAAAACAUUAGACUGUUUGUGUUUCAUGUCUGAAUGAUUCAUGUGAGCGUGAAUGCUGGAACAGAUUUUCAUUUCUACCUGCUCAGGAUUUAAAAUGAAUAAAUAAAAUCUGAUGGAACUGAAA